GACGAACGCUGGCGGCGUGCCUAAUACAUGCAAGUAGAACGCUGAAGGAGGAGCUUGCUCUUCUGGAUGAGUUGCGAACGGGUGAGUAACGCGUAGGUAACCUGCCUGGUAGCGGGGGAUAACUAUUGGAAACGAUAGCUAAUACCGCAUAAGAGUAGAUGUUGCAUGACAUUUACUUAAAAGGUGCAAUUGCAUCACUACCAGAUGGACCUGCGUUGUAUUAGCUAGUUGGUGGGGUAACGGCUUACCAAGGCGACGAUACAUAGCCGACCUGAGAGGGGGAUCGGCCACACUGGGACGGAGACCCGGCCCAGACUCCUACGGGAGGCAGCAGUAGGGAAUCUUCGGCAAUGGACGGAAGUCUGACCGAGAAACGCCGAGUGAGUGAAGAAGGUUGUCGGAUCGUAAAGCUCUGUUGUAAGAGAAGAACGAGUGUGAGAGUGGAAAGUUCACACUGUGACGGUAUCUUACCAGAAAGGGACGGCUAACUACGUG
rnacentral:rRNA from 1 species